rnacentral:lncRNA from 1 species
GAAGGACUCCCCAGUACUCCCCAGUACCCCACAGAGGCGAAGUCCCAAAACCAGAGCUCUGCUGAGUCACAGAAUUUGAGAACUGGAAGGAGUUCUUAGAGGUCAUUUAUUCUGAACUUUUCAACAAAGAAGCUCCUGUAAAAUAUACUGAACAGGACUUAUGAGAAAGAAUGCUAUCUACAUUCAGAGGAAGAACUGUGGGAAUAGACACACAAAAGAAAAACAACUGCUUGAUCACAAGGAACCAAUUGCAGUCUUUCAAUUUCCAAAACACUGCCCAAGGGGGGCAGUGCUUGUGGCCUUUGGGGAUAUAAACUGUGCUUGCCCAUGGUAAUGUUUUCUGUAGAUAGAAUCAGCUCCCCUUACCCACAGCUUGUCUCCACCUUGCUGCAUGGCUGGAUGUGAAAUAAAAGGUCUAAACAGAAGUCA